rnacentral:rRNA from 1 species
AUUGAACGCUGGCGGCAUGCCUUACACAUGCAAGUCGAACGGCAGCGGACCUUCGGGUGCCGGCGAGUGGCGAACGGGUGAGUAAUAUAUCGGAACGUACCUUUCAGUGGGGGAUAACGUAGCGAAAGUUACGCUAAUACCGCAUAUUCUGUGAGCAGGAAAGCAGGGGAUCGCAAGACCUUGCGCUGAUUGAGCGGCCGAUAUCAGAUUAGCUAGUUGGUGAGGUAAAGGCUCACCAAGGCGACGAUCUGUAGCGGGUCUGAGAGGAUGAUCCGCCACACUGGAACUGAGACACGGUCCAGACUCCUACGGGAGGCAGCAGUGGGGAAUUUUGGACAAUGGGCGCAAGCCUGAUCCAGCCAUGCCGUGUGAGUGAAGAAGGCCU